UACGUAGGGGGCUAGCGUUGUCCGGAAUCAUUGGGCGUAAAGAGCGUGUAGGCGGUCCGGUAAGUCCGCUGUGAAAGUCGGGGGCUCAACCCUCGAAUGCCGGUGGAUACUGUCGGGCUAGAGUGCGGAAGAGGCGAGUGGAAUUCCUGGUGUAGCGGUGAAAUGCGCAGAUAUCAGGAGGAACACCUAUUGCGAAGGCAGCUCGCUGGGACGUAACUGACGCUGAGACGCGAAAGCGUGGGGGGCAAACAGG
rnacentral:rRNA from 1 species